UAAAGAACGGGCGUUGCUAGGAGGAUUUGCUGCUUUUUCUCCCCCAUGAAAUUAGGGUGUGGGCCUGCUUUACUGGAGUUUCUGUUUAGGGAAGAAUUGAGGAUUCACAGGAAGUCAAAGUUGAGAGGAACAGCAAAGCCACCUGCCCUUUCAUUUACAGGCCUCUCAUGCUGGCUGUAAGUGAAAACUUCCCAGGUGGCUCAGAUGGUAAAGAACCCACUUGCCAAUGCAGUUGACCUGGGUUGGAUCCCUGGGUCAGGAAGAUCCCCUGGAGUAGGAAAUGGCAACCCACUCCAGUAUUCUUGCCUGGAAAAUCCCAUGGGCAGAGGAGCCUGGUGGGCUACAGUCCAUGGGGUGGCAAAGAGUCAGACACCACUGAGCAACUAACACUUCACGUGCUGGCAGUCACCCUCCCCCUGUUGAAGCAACUGGUGCUGGACAUUCCCGUCAACUGCUAUAGAGACAAAAUAUUACUUUCCAGUUUCCUGCCUCUUAUGGAUAUCGCUGAAGGGAUCACAGCGGGAAAUUACUUGUGCUUGUCAGUUGAUUGUGUGCUGAAGAGACCGGUGGGGCUGAGAGCUGAAGAUCUCUAUCCCGGGCGGAGCAGAUUAAAGGCCGAGCGGUGGGACGGCACACAGCCCUCUGACCUCCUCCUUGACCUUGACCCCCAGGCUGGCCACCCCCCCCCCCCACCCAGGGAGAGGCAGCGAAGCACACAGGGCAGUGAGCACUGACCAGCCGUGACUAGCACACCCGCUGCCCUGCACCCUCUCCUCAAACCUCCUCCAGUGCCCCAGAGGUGAAGGGUGCUGCCCGGGGGGGAGUCAGCAUUUCUAAGGAUGAGCGCGUGGACUGCUGGGCUUCUGGUUUGCUUUCUGAUUAGAUAAUGCUCCUCUCGAGAGUUCCUUGGACUGCAAGGAGACCAAACCAGUCCAUCCUAAAGGAAAUCAACCCUGAAUGUUCAUUGGAAGGACUGAUGGUGAAGCUGAAGCUCCAGUACUUUGGCCACCUGAUGCAAAGAGCCGGAAAAGACCCUGAUGCUGGGAAAGACUGAAGGCAGGAGGAGAAGGGGACGACAGAGGAUGAGAUGGUUGGAUGGCAUCAGCGACUCAAUGGACACGAGUUUGAGCAAGCCCUGGGAGAUGGUGAUGGACCGGGAAGAUAGUGAAGUCAUGAAGCAGCUACUAUGUUUCAUCUGUCUCUGGUACAUAUUAGUGGAUAAACAUGGAAACCUUUACAAGUGUUUCUCAAGAGCUGACGGAAGAGAACCUCAUCCAAGAAGGCUAACAAUAUGGU
ensembl:lncRNA